rnacentral:rRNA from 1 species
AGAACUUAGCAGAGAUGCUUUGGUGCCUUCGGGAACUCUGAGCAGGUGCUGCAUGGCUGUCGUCAGCUCGUGUUGUGAAAUGUUGGGUUAAGUCCCGCAACGAGCGCAACCCUUAUCCUUUGUUGCCAGCGGUCCGGCCGGGAACUCAAAGGAGACUGCCAGUGAUAAACUGGAGGAAGGUGGGGAUGACGUCAAGUCAUCAUGGCCCUUACGAGUAGGGCUACACACGUGCUACAAUGGCGCAUACAAAGAGAAGCGACCUCGCGAGAGCAAGCGGACCUCAUAAAGUGCGUCGUAGUCCGGAUUGGAGUCUGCAACUCGACUCCAUGAAGUCGGAAUCGCUAGUAAUCGUAGAUCAGAAUGCUACGGUGAAUACGUUCCCGGGCCUUGUACACACCGCCCGUCACACCAUGGGAGUGGGUUGCAAAAGAAGUAGGUAGCUUAACCUUCGGGAGGGCGCUUACCACUUUGUGAUUCAUGACUGGGGUGAAGUCGUAACAAGGUAGGCGUAGCGAG